GAGCCUCCUGGGAGGGCCGGGGCUGGGCGCUCGCCCCCGGCGGAGGGUCGCCGCUCUGCUUCCUCCGGACGCCGGAGCGCCAGGUGAUGGUGGUCUGGGAGCGAGGGUGGGUGGCGGAAGGAACGAGAGCCCGAGCCGAGGCAGGAAUCACGGACCUGGGCCGGGGAGAGCAGAAAAGGGAACCGGAAGCCCGCCCGGGGCGGGCUGAGGAGGAAAACGGAAAAGCCUGGGUCCGGGAGGACCGGGUGAGAACCGGAAGCCCCGGCCGGGGAGGCUCGAGGAGGGGAGGGACCGGGUGAGGGAGCCGGGCUGGGAAGGGCUGAGGCGGGGGCUGGAGUUCGCGUCGGAGAAGGAGAGCUGGGAGCCGGUGCCGCUUCACUCAGGCCUGUACGUGCGGGACCCCGGGUCCGUGGUCGUGAACCACAGGUGACGGGUUUUGUUGUUGUCGUGCCUGUUUGUGUCAGUUUUGCCCUGAGAAGGCCGGAGCCGCGGCGCGGUGUGCGUGGGCCCGCCCUGUGCGUGUGUUAGGCCGUCGCCGCCUGGAAGUCCUCUAGUGUCCUUUUCCGGUCAGUGUCACAACAGAGACAGCUGUGGUUCUGGUUUGUAUACGUCUCCGUAAUUGAGUUUUGUCACUUCUGCAAGUCCCUGUCUCCUUUAGCUCAUUCUAGUUCUGUAAGAUUUAUUAAUGUUGUGUAGUUCAUUCUGUUAAUUUCUGAACAGCAUUCCAUUGUGCCAAUAUGCCACAUUUUGUUUAUUCAUUUUUCUUUUGAUGAACAUUUAGUGUAUUUCCAGGUUAUGUAUAUAUUAUAAAUAAAGCUGGCAUGUUUCCAUUUCUCCUGGGGAAAUACCUAGAAGAAAAAAUACUGGGUAAUAGGUACAAGGCAAGAACAAAGUGCAGAAGAAAUUUUUUAAAAAGAGGGGCAUAACAAAUCGAUGCCUGUACCUACUCCCCCUACAAACACAUAGAAAUGCCAUCUAAACUAAAGAAAAUGUCUUAAAAAUUGUCAAGUUCAAAAGGAAAGAAAGAAGGAAAAUUCUGCAUCCAGAAACAAGGAGAUGAAUCAAAACAGUAAAUGCAAAGGAAAAGAGGCCCCAGAAUCCUGGAAGAGCUGUUCCCAAAGGUACAAGGGUUGGCUAUUACUCAGCUGGUGUAGGCUGGGGCUUCAGGCUCCAGGCUGCUGGUUGGGUUUAGAUAUGUUCCAUGUGUCUCAUUUUCUUCUGACUGUUCAUCCCAUUCUGAAAACUGGUUUCCCAAGGCACAUUCUUUCCAUGGAGACUGGCUUGAGCACCGGAGCUAAGCCAAACCAUACAAGGACAUUUAAGGUCACUGCUCAUGUACAUCCACUAACAUUCCAGAGGUCAAAGCAAGUCAUAUGUUCAAGCCCAGUAACAAUGAAGUGGGGAAAUAGCCUGUUGUUGGAGGAACUGAAAAGUCAUGUGGCAAAGGGCAAAGAUGUAUAAUUUUACAAUACAAAGGUAACUCUGUGUCUGAAGCUCCAUUUCUGGUCAAAAAGCAGAAUAUACCCUAUUCUGCACUGUCACAUAACUGAAAUGAAACAGAGACAUUCUCUGACUUAUGAAGUUGUCACUAGAGAGUGACAUCAGCGUCAUGGCGGAGUGAGCUUUCCCGUAAACUCUUCCUCCAAUAAGAUACAACAAAAGGAACAGUCACAGACCAACAACAGUCUCCUAGACAGCGAAAAGCAAGAUCAGAGAGAUCCACACUGCCACACAUCUGAGAGUGGAAAGUGCUGGGCCCCUGGAGGACGUGGGGAGAGGUAAGGAGAACUCCUCUCCCUCCCCAUCAGAUCAGCGAUCCCGGUCUGCAUGGCUCCCAGAGUGGGGGGAGGGGCGGCCCUCUGUGGGGAAACCGUAGCUCUUCAGGCUGUCUCAGCCAGUGGGAAACUCCCACACAGAGGACUCAGUUCACUGCUACAGGGGUACCAUCAACAUCUGAGAACCCCAGGAGAGUGGAUAAUGAGGGGCAAACUUCUCGAGAAGCCCCCCAUGCCAGGGACCCAGCGGGCAAAAGAGAGAGCCCCCCCUCCCUGCAUGCCGGACACUGCAGCUCAGCCGACUAGACCAGACCAGAGCAAGCGGCUGGCAGAUUGCAGCGAACAGCCAGGGCAGAGCGCAGGGGGCUGAGAUUACACAGCCCUUAACUACCACACAGUGGCAGUGGGUGGAAACUGCAACCAGUUAUUUCCAGGAUGAGGAAAAACAAAGCCAAUACAGGAACCACAAUGCAAAGGUACAUGAAAUCACCAGACCAGAGGAAAAUGACAAGCACCCAGAAACCAACCCUGAAGACAAAGAAAUUCAUAACUGUCUUGACAUGAGUACAGCCAUGUUUGGCCGCUCCAUUGACCUACAGCCACCAGCACAAAAAAGAAAUACAAAGCUGCUUUCUGUGUGGGGUGAACUGGCCUUUUCCCGGGAA